AUCUUCUCAGACUCUAUUUAAAGGUAGAAAGAAGAACAUGAAAGGAACAUGGAGCCCUGUCUUCCAGUGAGACCACUGUUAGCAGAACUGUGGGGAAAGCACGAGCUGUUGGCCAGAGAGCUGCUGUGAACGCAGCAGGGAGCACAGCGAGGAGCGGACAGGCCUCCAGCGCCCAGCAGAGCCGGGCGUCCGGUUUCCAGACACCCUAACUUCUUAGCACCGGAAAUUUGCCACGACAGAAGCCAUCACUGAUCUGGCUCCAGAUUCACAUUGGUAUUUGUCUUAUGACAG